rnacentral:lncRNA from 1 species
GCUGGGUCUGGUCUCAGAUGCUUAGUAAAGGCCAGUGUUAAAUGGCCAGUGUUCAGCAAGGAUCUGACUUGGCUAGGUAAGAUCUGCUGCCUCCUGACAGAGGACAGCUUUCCCAGUGCAAACAGAAAUAAAUCCCCUUAGGCAGCUCAGGGACCCGGUGCAAGGCAUGGGCUCUGCCUCUCCUCCAGCAAGCCGGCCCCACUUGUAAAGGGAUACCCAGGGUUAGACACAAACAGCAACACCAUGCACUCCUCCUCCUCCACACCAGGCCCUCUGCAACCCCCAAAGGGAAGGAGCGCAUUCGCCAUCUGCACAGCACAGAGAAGGCAUUGCUGGAGGAGGUGCUCUUCAACAGCACUAUAGAGCUGGAUCAGCGAGCUCAGUUCUCACCUUGGAAAUCAUCUGUCUGCAUCAGGUAGCAGCAGAGAGCUGAGCCUGGAGAGCAGCUUGCUUGGGCAGCAGCCUAUGCUCUGUCUAGUUAAGUAUUCAAAAUGCAAAUGCAUGAGCUUGGGAGUUAGUGUCAUUUCCCCAUCCUUGGAAGCAUCGGUGGCAGCCAGCAGGAGCAGCAGAGUGGACCAGCGCCAUCCCCACACUGUGUCACCAGGGGCAGGAGCAGCCCAGAUCCAAGGGAGGCAGCAGCUGCGGCUGUGGUGGCUCUUCAGAGGAGACUGGCUAAUGUAA